rnacentral:lncRNA from 1 species
UCGAAACCGUUUUUUUUUUCUUUCGAUGGUUUUGACAAUGGUUUUAGGCUUUCAGCUAACAAUGACGUUAUGUCUGCUGCAAAGGAAGUAAAUCGGACCAUGUUCAUAGUUGAGGAAAACCAAAUAGAAUUUAUCAGAAGUUAUAAAAAUAACUUCAUAGAAAUAUAUUUUCCUAGACCCCAAAUCCGAUUUAAUUUAAAAAUUCAUAUAAAAUUUUAUUGUAGCUCAAAAAAUAUGAAGCC